rnacentral:rRNA from 1 species
UAGUCCACGCCGUAAACGAUGGAUACUCGAUGUAGGGAGGAAUCGACCCCUCUCUGUGUCUAAGCUAACGCGUUAAGUAUCCCGCCUGGGGAGUACGGUCGCAAGAUUAAAACUCAAAGGAAUAGACGGGGACCCACACAAGCGGUGGAGCAUGUGGUUUAAUUCGACAAUAAACGGGGAACCUUACCAGGGCUUGACAUCUCCGGAACUUCAAAGAAAUUUGAAGGUGCCGUAAGGAACCGGAUGACAGGUGCUGCAUGGUCGUCGUCAGCUCGUGCCUUGAGGUGUUCGGUUAAGUCCGUAAACGAGCGCAACCCAUGUCUUAUGUUGCAUAUUUCAUAAGAGACUGCCGGCUCCAAGUCGGAGGAAGGUAUGGAUGACGUCAGAUCAGCAUGGCCCUUAUGCCCUGGGGCCACACACGUGCUACAAUGGCCGGGUACAAUGAGCUGCCAACCCGCAAGGGGGA